rnacentral:rRNA from 1 species
AUUGAACGCUGGCGGCAGGCUUAACACAUGCAAGUCGAGCGGAUGAAGGGAGCUUGCUCCUGGAUUCAGCGGCGGACGGGUGAGUAAUGCCUAGGAAUCUGCCUGGUAGUGGGGGAUAACGUCCGGAAACGUGCGCUAAUACCACAUACGCCCUGAGGGAGAAAGUGGGGGCUCUUCGGACCUCACGCUAUCAGAUGACCCUAGGUCGGAUUAGCUAGUUGGUGGGGUAAAGGCCUACCAAGGCGACGAUCCGUAGCUGGUCUGAGAGGAUGAUCAGUCACACUGGAACUGAGACACGGUCCAGACUCCUACGGGAGGCAGCAGUGGGGAAUAUUGGACAAUGGGCGAAAGCCUGAUCCAGCCAUGCCGCGUGUGGGAAGAAGGUCUUCGGAUUGUAAAGCACUUUAAGUUGGGAGGAAGAGGAGUAAGUUAAUACCUUGCUGUGUUGACGUUACCAAAAGAAUAAGCACCGGCUAACUUCGUG